CCAACGAUUUGAGAAUGUUUGAAACCUACAACGGUAUUGAGAGAAUGUUCGAAACUAGCCUACAACGGUAAAGAAAAUUCAAAAUGGCAUGGAGCGGGGAAAAGCAUUUGAAGUGAACAUCAUAACCCUUGGCACAUCGUUUGUUUGCAGUGUGCGCACUGAUCUGUCUGUCCAGGAUUUUCAUCGAUUAUUUAGGUUUUUUUUGGUUUACGGUAGAAGAUGAAAAGGCAAAGCAGAAGAUCAGGAAAAAUAGCAAUUGAAUGAGGGCAAAAAGAACAGGAAAAAUAGCAAUUGAAUGAGGGCAAAAUUGCAAAAUUCUUUUUGCCAGAUUGACUCAUGUUUAUGUUUCAACCAUUCAUGGCACUCACAUUGGAUUCAUGGGUUGGGUCCAUUUCUCUUGCUGGUAUUAGCACUUCGCAUAGGCCAUUAACAACUGAGGAUUACUGAGCUGCAUCAUCAACUUAGCAAAGUUGCAAUCAUCAAAGUUGACGUGUUAGGUGAGAUUGACACGAAUGAUUAAAUAUGAAACUCGGGGCCGACUUUUGGUUAAAGUCCGCCACCCCUCAUUUGAAGGCAUGCGAUGCUUCAUGAAGGUCAUGGCUCCUUGAUGAGAGAUGACUCUUGGAUAUCUCCUUUUGUUGGAUAUAUAUGGAUGUGGUCUUCCUUCUGUGGAAUAGAGAUGAGACAAGAAGUUCGAUCAUAAUCAGACAAAUCAAUUUCAUGUACAAGCAGAUCAAUUGAUGGUGAAAAAUAUAUGUAGCGUGCUCGGGGGUGACGAUAAGAGCUU